rnacentral:rRNA from 1 species
CAGUCGCCACGGUAAAACGAAGGGUGCAAGCGUUAAUCGGAAUUACUGGGCGUAAAGCGUGCGCAGGCGGUUGUGUAAGACAGGUGUGAAAUCCCCGGGCUUAACCUGGGAACUGCGCUUGUGACUGCACAGCUAGAGUAUGGCAGAGGGGGGUGGAAUUCCACGUGUAGCAGUGAAAUGCGUAGAGAUGUGGAGGAACACCGAUGGCGAAGGCAGCCCCCUGGGCCAAUACUGACGCUCAUGCACGAAAGCGUGGGGAGCAAACAGGAUUAGAUACCCCUGUAGUCCCUGUCUCUUAUAC